rnacentral:rRNA from 1 species
GAUGAACGCUAGCUACAGGCUUAACACAUGCAAGUCGAGGGACCGGCGCACGGGUGAGUAACACGUAUCCAACCUGCCCUUUACUCGGGGAUAGCCUUUCGAAAGAAAGAUUAAUACCCGAUGUAAAGGAUGGGGAUGCGUUCCAUUAGGUUGUUGGUGAGGUAACGGCUAACCAAGCCUUCGAUGGAUAGGGGUUCGGAGAGGAAGGUCCACCAAAUUGGAAAGGAGACACAGUCCAAACUCCUACGCGAGGCAGCAGUGAGGAAUAUUGGUCAAUGGGCGUUAGCCUGAACCAGCCAAGUAGCUUGAAGGAGGAAGGCUUAUGGGUCGUAAACUUCUUGUAUAUAAGAAUAGGUAUUAUAGGAAUAAGGAUCGGCUAACUCCGUGCCAGCCGCCGCGGUAAUUC